CACACACACACAUAUAUGCCUUAGAAAUGCCUUGAUCAUAAAGAACAGUGUUUUUUAUGGAGAUUUCCUAAAUCUCAAGGUAGCAAAAAAAGGUUCGGAUCACCAACAGUUAAAAUUCUUUUUGGAAGUGGGAAAUACAAAUUAUAUAAUGUUUCUGAAUUAGUGGCUAAGAGUUGGUAGGUUCAGCCACCUCUUCAGUUCUGAAUGGCUCUAAAACUUCUUUGAUUGUACAUUCCUAUCAUAAAAAACAUUUUUGAGAAUGCACCCAAUAAAUUGUUUUUACAAGUUAUAUAUGUGUAUUACUAAAUACAUUGUAAAACUUACAUAAAACCAAGAAGUUAAAAAAGGAUGAGAUAAAGAUUAAAUGAAGACUAUUUUUGAAACAUUUACUUGACUGUAGUUAUUAAUGGUGAAAAAACCAUUUUCACCCUGCAGCCUUACAGAUUGUCUUGCAAAGCUCCCUGGGGAGCGUGGGCUCCUCUUUGGAGACCACUGUUGUAGACACCAUAAAUACUUACUGUUGCAGAUGUCACCAGGAUGUUCCACUGUAACAAAACCUCCACGCUAAGUAAUUCUCCUACUAGAGAUUAAAAUGCUGACUCUCUAGUAGGAUGACUGCACCUUCUGAACAGAAAAUAAGAGGAGAGAACAACACUGGAAGCACUGACAAACUGCUUGACAUAGGAGAAGUUUGAAUCUGUAUCAGCUGAAAAUAUAGAGAAACAUGUCUAAGUGGAUUGGGAAAAAGGAAUUGUAUCAGAAUAUUUACUAAUAAGCAGAAUACAGCAGUAGCUUUUGUAUUUUUAUAAAUGUUUCUACUUCAUUUACAGCUAAGUGUUAGUUGAUAAAUUCCAAAUUCUGUUUUCUCUUGCUGCCUAGGGUAGUCACACUAAAAUCAGGAACAAGACUUACAUACAAGAACUAAGCUGGAUCUGAAUUUUGAUAUCCAGGCAACUAAAUAGUCUCCAGUACACAUCAGGUACCACUUAGGACUGUGGUCAACUGGUGUUCUUAUCUCAUUAUUUUCUUAAUUAUCAUUUAGCCUUUGAAAGUAUUCUGUGGAGCAUAGGCUGGAAAUCCCAGAACUGAGUUUUUACAGAGUGAAACCAGAUUGCAUGUGCAAAGUGGAAAAUAUUUUGGAUAGAGAAUUGAUUAGAAUCUAGUAAAAUAUAAUAAUGAGCAAAGUCUGUAUGUGAGAUGAAGCUUGUAGAGAAAGGGUUUUAAAUCUAGUCAGGCUGGAUAUGUGAUGAAGAGAAAUAGUUCCUUGUAGUAGAGGCAAUGAGUCUGAAGCCUAUGUCAGUCUGUCACCAGAGAUAGAAGUGAGGCCUGAAAUCAGCUUUUGCUCAUCUUGAGCAUUUCCAGCUGUUGCUGUAAGGACGAAUCUCACCAGACUUUCUGUACAUAACAUAUGCUAGGCAUACUGGUCUUUGGGAACUGGAUCUUGGGGAGAUGAGCUGAAAGUUCCAUUGAUGCACAAACUAAUUGUAGCACCUGCCUACUUGAAUGGGUGGUCAUGUGGGUUAAAGACAUUACUACAGUGAGUUUACAUGACAGUAACAUUUGGGACGAAGGGUGUUUCUCUGGCCCUGGACAGGGACUUGUUUGACCCAAUACGCCUGUAACUGCUGCUUCUCAGCAUAGUAGGAGAUAGAGGCACAUAAAUGUAUGUGAGCUUUUUUUAAUGAGCAGAAAGCAAGAUGACUUAGUCAACUGGUCAGGAAAUAAUUUUUUGUUUUGUUUUUUGGUUGUAAACAGGAAGGCAUUUAGAACACUUUCAGAUACUCUGUGGUUCUCCAUGUAGCUGUCAGUACAAAAGAGUUUUGGUUUUGUUUGUUUUCUUUUAGAUGUGACAUACCAAAGCAUCCUGUUUUCUGCAGCUUUGAUGUGGUAGAGAUUUGAAGAAGACAGAUUAUUUUCCAUUUUUGUUAUUGACUUUCAUAGGCAGGCAAGGAGUGAUAUUUGCGAAAGGAGGGAAUGGAUAGGUUCCUCAUGCAGACUGAAUAGUAGGUGAUGAAUUUGGCUGAUAAAAAAGUUAACAUUCACAUUGCACCCAUGCAAGGCAUUUUCAAGGUAUUUCUGCAUCCUUUGUUCCCUUUAGAAACAGUACAAGUGUUACUAGAAUAUACAGAGUCUGCAUAGUAAUAUGUCAGUGUAUUAAGCUCUGAAAAGUCUGUGCAUGAGUGGCUUAUAAAAGAUUUAUGUGAAUUUCUUCAUGUCUGCUUUUUUAUUUGGAGGCAGGUUGCUGUAUGUAGCUAUGUACAGUGUUCUGUCUUAGGGUAAUAGAUAUUUUUUGCUUAUUUGGAAGGAGGGAAGUGUGUUUGGGCAGCUAAAUCUAUAAUACUGUUAUCCAUUUCUAUAGGAAACAGAACAUCUAAGAAAAAGCAUUUUUGUGUUAGAAAAAUUACAAUAUAAUUGAGGUUUUUAAUACAAGAAUGAAAAAGAAAUGUUACAUUAGAGGUCAUUGGAAUUUUUUUCAAUAAUGUGUUCUAAUAGCAAGAAACUAAUUUCACAGAAUCACAGUAUCAGUUAGGUUGGAACAGACAACUGAGACCAUCAAGUCCCAGCCUUUGAACAAACACCAUCUUGUCAGGUAGACCAUGGCACUAAGUGCCACAUCCAGUCUUUUCAAACACUUCCAGGAAUGGUUACUCCACUGCUUCAGUGGUUCCAAUGCUUGACAACCCUUCUGUGAACAAAUUCCUCCUCAUGUCCAACGUGAACCUCAUUCACUGUUAUAAUAUAUAAAACUAAAUAAAAAAUUAAUUAAUUUAUCACAUUUGUACAUUUCCAGGCUAUGUGCUAAUUUCCAGAAUUUAUUAGGGCAAUCCCUCUUGUACACAUUAGCAUUUGUUUUUAGAGAGGGAGGGAAGAUCCAUAUUACAUAAGCCAGUAACGCAGUCCUUGUUAACUCUUUGUCCAGUCAUGCAUUUCUUCUAUACAGAUUUCCUGGAAACAGUGACACUGCUGAGCUUCCUUGAUGCUUAGUUUAUCUUUGUUGCAAAAUAGUUACAUUUUGGGGAGAAAGAAACUGAGUUUCCUCUCCUGGCUUCUACUGUGCUAAGCACUGCCUGGUCUUUAUUCUUUGUGUUCUUUCUGUUCAGUGGUAUUGUGCACUAAGCCUGAAACUUGCAUUUUUUGAGUUUUAGGAGGAAACUUGGUGUGCUUGUGUAUAUAUUUCUCCAUGCAUCUAACAAACACAAGGCGACAGAAACGACACAAAUGCUACGGUUACCCUGCCCACCGAGCUUUACAUUGUAUGGGAGGGGUAGUGCAGUUGUAAUGUUAUGUAGGAGUGCUUGUCCGUGCCUAGGUAGAAAUGGUUGUUUACUGGAUGGCAAAUGCUGAAGCUUUCUCAGUGGGAGAACUGGGCAGGAAAAGUCUGCAGUUUGACUUUGCUAAACUUUUACACAAUUUUUCCUCCACAUGAAAUAUUUCCACAGGAAUCUAAUGCUUGUGAAAGAUGCUGGAUCACCAGGUGCAGAGAUUGAACUCUACCCACUGGAAAGGUUUUUCUUCAGCGACAGGAGGUCUUCCCUUGCAUCUCAUGGGAACACUUAGCGUUUUGAUAAUGCCUCCUUCACAAUGAAGGGAAGAAAGGAUGGAUCAGCAGGGAUGUGCAAUGGAGUGAUGUCCACACAUGGCAUUAACGGUCAUGAUCCCUGUCCUCACUUGGAGAAUUGAAUAAAAGAGUUGAAUUGUAA